rnacentral:lncRNA from 1 species
UUUGGAAUAGUUCACUUAGGCAUGAUCUUAAUUUUGGUUACUUAUUUUUCAGGAUAAGAUGAGUGUUAGCUUAACUUUUUAUUACAUGAAAUGAAUUUUUUAUUCUAUCUUUAUUUUAUUUUUAUUUUAAUUUUAUUUUUGAAGGUUUGAGUUUGACAUUUAAAUUAUUAUAAUCCAUUGCAUUACUUUAAUUUAUUGAUUUUUUUUAAUUGCAUACGUAUGAUAUUUAUU